GACGAGCUUAUCUGGAGCGGUCUGACCCGGCAAGCCCUGGGGUGAUACUAGCGUCAGGUUAUUGAACCUCAGAUGGGGGCUGCAGAAGUAACAGCACGAAUGCGAGAUAAGCAUUUAGAAAAAUAAAGUUUAGCUGCAGCAUUAGCACCACGUUUUGCCAAGGUCAUAGUUAUGCAGGCAUAGGUCACAUCAGGCCGUCUCAAGAAGGCACUAACCAAAAGACAAAGGUCUCGAGGAAUGAGAUGCCCACAUCUGAUGCUCCCACCACAACAAUGCGUGCGUUGAUGACCACCUUAGGCUCCAGGGUAAGCUUUCUGUUCAAGUGGUUCAGCGCAAAGGCCUCCUGGGAAAGCAAAAUCGAUGCAUAUCUUGGCACGGAAAACUUAUGAAAACAAGUCGAUGGAUGAAAAGAUAAAAAGUUUUUCUCUUUAUUGGUUAAUAAAUAGAUUUAGGCAGUUUAAAGCGGAGCCAGCAUUGUAAUUUUAAAAGUUUUAAACUUUACCAAAUUCAGUUAAAAAAUAACACAAUACAUAAUAGAUAGAAAUGGGUGCUUUUUCCGAGGAUGGAUGACAUAGCAGCAGCUGACAGUCUUUAUAACUAAGAUUAUUACGAGAACGAUGCCAGUCUAAUUUACCUUUUCUUGUAGUAUUCUCUCAGAUGGCGCAUUACCUCCCAACUCCUUAACUGGGUAAAUGAUUUGGCGUCGUGCACUGCAAAUCAUACGAGAACAAACGCUUUUCAGUAUUUAAGAUAGUUUAGUAAGAUUUACCUCGUUAUAUGAAGUUAGGGUAGAGUUACACGGAGGACACGAAAUCGGGCCAUGCUACGUCGGGCUAUGCUACAUUUUAUAAAAGAUCCUGAGCCAGUCACAAACGAUAGAUACUAGCGUCAGUUUAGCGUGGCUAACACUGUAACCUGAUUGGCUGAAUCAAAUAUGCGUGGCUAAUACUGUGACCUGAUUGGCUGAAUCAAAUGAGCGUGGCUAAAACUGUGACCUGAUUGGCUGAAUCAAAUGAGCGUGGGUAACACUGUGACCUGAUGUGCUAGAAUGCAUUGAGAUGCCUCUAAGUGGAAUUUGAUUGGUCAAUGUGUGAAAAUGUCAGCAUGGCCCGCUUUCCGUAUCCUUAAUACAAUGAAUUCCGAGAACUCCAUCCUAGACGACUUACGCGAUUGGCACAAGGUCAUUGAGUGAUGUCACAACAGAAUGGUUCUUGGUGACCUGGAAAAAUCAUAUUAACUAUCACUAACCAAUAAGGGAUGAGCGGAUAAAUUCAUUAACAGCCACUUACACUACCACUGGCGUACACAGGGAAGACUGGAUAAUACAAACAAGACUUGUGGGCAAGUCGAAGCACCUCCUGAAAUCACGAUAUCAAUCAAAUAAAUAAACAGUUCCACCAGCAGAACUUUUUCAUCGACAAAAAUGUGCGUGAGAUGUUUAGUGUCUUAUAACGAAUCAAAAACGAGUUAAGACACGGGGCUUUGUCGUGACUUUUAAUUUGGACUGUUUGAAUGUUUCGCGUGAGAUCUUUCGGGACGACUUAUAUAUCUUUGCAGUUCACUGUUUAACUAGUCACGCUGUAACGACAUAUGAGCACAAGUCCUUCUUCUUUACCUUUAGAAAGUGCUUGGAGUAUUGCUGGAAAACAGGGUUGAGAAUCAAGUGAUGCAGGUGUGCAUGCUCCUCGCGCUGGUGAUGGUUAAAGUAGACAAAGUCCUCGAUACUGUAGUGCGAGCGUAUGUACUCGAUAUCCUGCACGAAACAAAAAAACAUAAUCUUAAAGCCUGUCGAUCCGACUUGAAUGACGCGUGAUUUCGUCCGGCUAUGAAAGUCCAUGCAAAAGAUUUGCAUCCCAGUAGCGAAUUUUAAUUCAAGCGCAUUUAAAAAUGCGCUUGAAUCACAGUAAAUUUCAAUUCAUCCUACAACUGAAGCAUCUCAAUUCUAUGUUAAGAGAUCAAAUAAAAGUUGUAUCUUUAAAACUAAUGAGAGUUUUGACAAUCCAAAAGAGAAACAAAACAAGACUGUCGCGGGAGUCGGAUCUACGGACUUUAAGUAACACAUUAGCCUACUGUUGAAUAGUCAAGAACGCAACACUUCACUGAACAACGUGUGGUGAUAUUAAUAUAGUUAAUUAAGUUUAAUGGGAAAGAUAAGGUAGGGUCAUAUGUCACGUCUACGUCAUCUCCUUCGCUCUAGCAAUCUCACGCUUCACGUCUUGUACAUUGACCCUACCCCCUCUUCCCAAGCAGUUGUAUUGUGUCCAAAUAUACAAUAUUAAAUUGCUCUGAAGUGGUCCAAACC